AGUGCAUACUAUCAGCCUUCUCAGACUUCGGAUUGUUGUUGAUAGACUGUGUACGUGAAAUGUCUUUCACAGGUGGACUCCAUGUUUCGAAGCUGUUAUGUGAGUCAGAGCGACAGAUCCUCCUCUUUCAACUGCAGUAUGCAUUGCUAAUUCAGCAUCUUCCAGCAAUUGUGCCUCCACUGCGGCUGCAUCAGCUUCUCAUGUUUAGCCUCUUGGAUGGCAUAUGACACUCUCACUUUGGUGUCUUCAUCUCUGGCCCGGGUACUCGCCAAUGACGUGGAUGACUUGCCACUUCUAGUGCUGCCCACAGACGACUUCCUGCUUGCUGCCAUCUUAAUCACUUCAUCCUCAAACGCUGCCUUUUCACUGUAGUGUUCUCGUGCAGUGUGUCGAAACUAACCACCUUAAUUAAACACCAAGUUAAACCAUAGCCAACGAAGACAAAGUUGUAGUAAGGUUGAUCAUUUACUGUCACUCUUUAACAUGUCUAAUGACAUAAAUUAACU